UACGGAGGGUGCGAGCGUUGUCCGGAAUCACUGGGCGUAAAGGGCGCGUAGGCGGACCUGCAAGUCGGGGGUGAAAGCCCGAGGCUCAACCUCGGAACUGCCUUCGAUACUGCGGGUCUCGAGUCCGGGAGAGGUGAGUGGAAUUCCUAGUGUAGAGGUGAAAUUCGUAGAUAUUAGGAAGAACACCAGUGGCGAGGGCGGCUCACUGGCCCGGUACUGACGCUGAGGCGCGAAAGCGUGGGGAGCAAACAGG
rnacentral:rRNA from 1 species